GUAUUACUCCCUCCGUUUUGAAUUACUUGUCGCAGGUAUGGAUGUAUGUAGAUGUAUCUUAGUUCUAGAUAUAUCCAUUUCUGUGACGAGUAAUUUGGAACAGAAGGAGUAGAUC
rnacentral:pre_miRNA from 1 species